rnacentral:rRNA from 1 species
GUACACUCCUACGGGAGGCAGCAGUGGGGAAUUUUGGACAAUGGGCGGAAGCCUGAUCCAGCCAUGCCGCGUGCAGGAUGAAGGCCUUCGGGUUGUAAACUGCUUUUGUACGGAACGAAACGGCCUUUUCUAAUAAAGAGGGCUAAUGACGGUACCGUAAGAAUAAGCACCGGCUAACUACGUGCCAGCAGCCGCGGUAAUACGUAGGGUGCAAGCGUUAAUCGGAAUUACUGGGCGUAAAGCGUGCGCAGGCGGUUAUGUAAGACAGUUGUGAAAUCCCCGGGCUCAACCUGGGAACUGCAUCUGUGACUGCAUAGCUAGAGUACGGUAGAGGGGGAUGGAAUUCCGCGUGUAGCAGUGAAAUGCGUAGAUAUGCGGAGGAACACCGAUGGCGAAGGCAAUCCCCUGGACCUGUACUGACGCUCAUGCACGAAAGCGUGGGGAGCAAACAGGAUUAGAUACCCUGGUAGUCCCAUGA